CCGGCGGGCCUGACCUGGGAAUGGAGGCACAACUUGCUGCAGGUCUCAGUAGGGAAGUCAGGACUGAGGGGGCCACAGGUACCCAGGCACAGGUGGGGCCUGGAGGCUGUGCUGAGCGCGUCCUGCAAACGGCGUGAAAGGGAACACACCUGAGCGCGAAUCUGGGCUGAACUCUUCACCUCGCCACCUUUACAUCGCAUGCACCACAUUUCCAAGCUACAGAUCUGUUAGCAUCCAAUGGCAAAGCCCUGACUCCAACUCCGUGCCACCACCACAAGGGGACAGCACUGCAGCCAGCCUGCCUGGGACACUGAGCCCCACUGCGUGUACAGGGUGCCCCUCUGCCUGCCGCUUCCAACCUAUUAAGCGGGUUUAGAAACACCGCAUGUGUCGGGGGAUCUGCAGUCCUUGCUCAGCCCCUCUUGCUCCCAGGUCCCACAUGGUGAGAGACUCAGCAAACGCCAACCUGGGCGUCCACAUCACUGGCUGACUUCACUGUGGAAAAUUAUAAAGCAGUGCACGCACCUGCCUUCCUGUUCACCCAGGCUCCUCUACCUUUGCUGGGAGGUGUCCGUCACUCUCCGAUUCUGCUGUGGACGCCGUCUAGGCUGAGCAGCACCCUGUGCCAGAGGAACUUGAGAACAGCAGAUCCAAUCCCACACCUGCCAGCCAAGACCCGGGGAAGGGAGGAGACUGCGCCCAUUGUCAGUGAACUCGCUUCAUGCAAACAUCUCACAGACUCGGUCAUUUCUUCAGGUCAGCACUACAUUAACAGGACAGCUUCGUGUCUUCAUAAGGCAUUUCAAAAACUUAACAAACAACUAUUAUGAUUCUUAAAAGCACGGACAAAUGUCUUCAUGGGGUAUGAUUUCAAAAUAUAGUGAAUGCUGCUGCUGAGCUCCAUCCAGUGGGAAGGCAGCCUUAUAAAACAUGACGCACUGGCCUCAUCCAGUUUAUUCACAGGACCUGGCCCCAUGCAACUUCCGGCUCUUCUGCAAAGUCAAAAUGACCAUGAAGGGUGUUUUAUAUCAAUUCAGGACACUGAGGAAGCCAGGACAGAGCAACUAAAGACACUUCCAAAAGGACUUCCAGAACUGCUUCAGAAAAUGACCAGAAUGAUGGGAUAAGUGUGUUCAAAGUGAGGACGAGUAUUUUGAAAGAAACGAAUUAGCAGUGUUUUUGACUCUAAUAAUUAUUUUAAAUUUAAAAUUCACUAUUUUUCCAUCAUACCUCAUAAUACUUAACUUGUGGCCAUGUACAUUUUGUACAUUUAUUUGCAAGAUUUCAAGUUAGGAGACUGAGCUCCCAUGUUUUGUCUGUACUAAUCAGGAAAUGAUGGGAUGGAAAUACCUCGGCCAGCCAAGGUUCUGUGGUGUAACAGUGGAGGGUGGCUGAAAAGGACACGGAACCACAGUCACCAGAUCCUAGAGCAGAACAUCGGACACACUGUACAUCCCAACACUCCACUGACCAACACGCGGUAGUGGGAAUCAGCCCUUUAUUUUGGUGUGUGUUUGAAAAAUUAAAUAAAACACUAAAUA